rnacentral:misc_RNA from 1 species
UAUGAAACGAAAGGUUUGCUUUUCCACCUUGAACCAAAAUUUUAUGCAUGAUAGGAAAACUUUGACAAUUGGUUCCACAUUAUUGAUGUUUUGAAUUCCUAAUGGAGGGAAGGGGAGGAAUUGUAGGGGGCUCUUUGAUUAGUGCCAGGGAAUAAAUUUACUUUGAUGGCAAAAAGAUAAUUAAGUGCAAGAGCAGUUUGUUUAUAAUGUAAGUUGAUGACCAUUUAAGAUGUAAGUGUUUGGUUUAUGUGAUUUUCUGCUCUAAGGAUUUUCCGUCAUUUGGAUAUUUUUCUCAGCUUACUGGAUUCAAGGCCUUUUCAAUGGCUCUAUGUGAGGAUUGUCUUUCAUUUACUGCUUCGAAUAGUAUUCAAAAAUCCAUGUUAAUGUGAACUUUCAAUGGCCUUGUAAAGGUGUUAUGUGCUCAAAACCUAAUGAUGACAAUGCACCUUUCUUUUAUUCCCUCUAUACCCCAUAAUGCAUCCAUGUUAUAUCACAGAAGAGUUGAGUUGAUAUACAUUGCAUGGAUUACGUGUACAUCGCAUGGAUUGCGUGACUGGAUGUAUGCAACUAUAUUAGGACAUCCUAUGGAAAUUGGAAAUGGGUUUUUACCGAUGUUGUUAGAACUGAAUCGGUUUAAUCGGGAACCAGACCAACAACCGGUUUGGUUCAGACUCAAACCCUCUUUUAUUAAAACCCAGAGCCAACCCGCUUGAACUGGCUGGGUAAUUGGCAAACCGGUUAAUCUGGUCGGGUUUAA